UGGUAUAGCUUGUUGUGAAGCAUGGAGAUAUGAGAUCCCAAAAUCAGCCACAAAGGGGAGACUCUGACAGAACAACAGCUAAAUAAGGGAACAUUGUGAUAUUAUAACCUGUGAUUUAGGAUCAGAUUAUGCCAUAACCUAAUGAAUGAGUUUGAACUAACCAAGUGUCUAUUCUUACAUUCUUUAAUGUUGAAACAGUGUAGAAGUCAGAACAGCAGCUCACUGUGAAAACUGAUGUUUUUGAUAGAUUUGACUAAAAAGAGGAACUUAUGCUUUAUGAAAUGGGAAUGCUUUUAAGAGUUUUGAUUACUAUGAAACUGAGGUGUUUUAGAAAGAGUUUUGACUACUGUAAUGAGGUGAGAAGUCACGAGUUAAGUGAACUAGGGUCAAGUGUUCACAGUAAGGGUCUCUAGACUCAAAAUAGAUUGGGUUUUUUAAUAAGUCUGUACACAUUGUCCAAAAGAUUGCACAAUGGGAUGCCAGCGACAGUUAGAGGCUGACAUCCGCUUUUCCAUUUCCUGAUCAGGAGCCUGUGCUGAGUUGCAGACAGGAGAGAUCGGGGGGGGGCAAGAUGGGCUGUCUGGACAGUCCAAAACAGACAGUUUCAGUUCCUUAAAAGUGGAGGUGAUCAUGCGGUCAGUGUAUGGGGCAAGUGUGUGAGUUGGGAGGGGGUAAAGAUACAGUAAACUAUAAAUUACAUCUGAUCGAGAUGCAAGUUGGGAGAUUGUUGCGGGUAUCUGCCUGGGUGCAAUCCAGACAUCAGUCUGAGCACAGGGGAUGAUUACCACGUAACUCGGACAGGGAAUUCAACAUGAUCUGCAAAGGAAUAACUGUUCUAUUGGAAUUAUGGACCAAAGUACUGCGUUUCCUGCAGUGUUGGAGGAUUACUGAACUGUGAUCUGGAAAUAAUGCUGUCUGAAGGAACAUUACUGAACUCUAUUUUCCAUGUGAGGAAUACUGGACCAAACAACAAAAAUGGAUAUAUGCAGAUCUAAAUCUGGUCUGGACCCCCGUCCACUUCCCCCUGGGCCCCGGCGGGUCUCAGGUGAGCAGCCGGGUGUGGCCACACCGUGACUGCUCUCCCUCCAAAUUAUGUAAUCUGGGUGUAACUGUUGUUGCUCCUACUGCUGACCUUGGAAGAAGAAAACUAGAGCAGGAGUUACAAAUGUCUAAAGCCAAGUUGGAAUGGCAGAACGAACACUCCCCAUUGUCCUUAUGAGUUUGCCUCAUUUUCCAGAGGCCAUUAGUGUAACUGAUGAAGACUGAACAGAUGAGAGGCAGUGUGAUGAUCGCUUACAGAUUUAAUAAAUACUUUCUUACUGUGCUCAUGGUUAAGUUUGUUGAGCAAACCUGAGUUUUUAUUUGUUUUGCAUAUACACCAAAACACAUGGCCAGUUGGUUACCAGUUUUGUGAAAUAUUUUAUUUUGUAUGUAUUUUAACUAAUAAUCAUUUUUUCAUAUUAACAAGUAUUUGUUUCUACCUCUGUUGUGUGUGUGCGUUCUUACAUUUUCCCUUAAACUCCAUUCCCAUGCAUGUAAUUGUGGAUCAUUUACAUUAAUAAAUAAGUUAGAAUGUAUACUAUGCCAUCACUUUAGAAAAGCUCACUUGAAAUACUUUACAAAUGAUUAGUAGAUGCUUUAAAACUACUAUUUUAAGGUUGUUAGGCAUUUAUAGAGUAUGAUAUUAAAAAUAAAUAUUUUACUGUUUGUUUUGGUUAAUGACAAUAUGAUAUCCGUCUGCAAAUGAGUUACAAUGGAAAUUUGACCAUCACUUUAGAUAAGCUCUCUUGAAAUACUUUACUAACCACUAAUGCAGGCUUUAUAACUAAUUAUUUUAAUUUUUUAAUGGGUUAAUAAGUAGUUAUAAAUUGCCUUUUAAAAAGUGAGUUGGUCAGCUGUUAUCUAAAUAUAUCAUAUGCAUCUACAAAUGAGUUCUAGUGAAAAUAUAGCCAUCUUAUAAGUAUUAAGAAAUGUUGAAUUAAUGCUUAGUGAAGGCUUAGUUGAUUGUCCAAACACCUUAUAUUUGAGAUAGCUAACCAUGGACAAAUACUUUGUAAGGGGUUUAUUCAAUUACUAACUACAAAGUAGCAAUUAAUAAAGUGUUUACAAAAUGUAUUUAAAAGUAUUUACAUAUGCUUAAUUAAAGCUUAGUAAAUGCGUAUUGUGUUGAGCAGGUUACACAUGCUGUUAACAUGAAUGAAGUGUUUAUAAGUCAGUUGUAAAUCCUUAACAAAUCAUAAUUUAACUAUUAACUAAUGAUUUAUUAAAACUUACUUUCGGCUCAAUAUGAUUUUUUCCAAAAGUGUUAUAAAUAAUGAACAACAUAUGCUAUUCUGCGCUUAUAAAUAGUUUAUCAUCAAUUAUGAAUGCAUUUUCAAUAAUUUAUUAAGGAUUAAAAAACCCUUAACUAAUGUUUAUAAAGAGACUAGAUCUGUGCCUAUACAUAUUUAGUAAGACAUCUACUUAUGUACUUAUAAAUGCUUAACUAAUGUCAAAGAAUGCUUUGUAAAUGUUUAAUUAAUAGUGAGUUGAUCAUUUACAAAUACUUUAUUAAUGAUUUACUAAUGCUUUAUAGUGUGCACUUAUUCUAAAGUGUUACCGACUAUUCCAGCUGGAAACGGCUGAUUUUUAAUGAAACAUCUACAUAGAGGUACAGAGGCCCAUUUCCAGCAACCAUCACUCCUGUGUUCUAAUGGUUCAAUGUGUUAGCUAAUUGUGUUGAAAGGCUAACUGAUGAAAACCCUUGUACCAUUAUGUUAGCACAUGAAUAAAAGGGUGAGUUUUCAUGGAAAACAUGAAAUUGCCCGGGUGACCCCAAACUUUUGAACAGUAGUGUAUAUUCUCAUUAUCACUGAACGUGGAGGCAUCAGAAGUUUCCAGUUCACUUCUAUUAGAUCAUGAGCGGUCAAGAAGGAAUUGCAAAUAAAUGAUCACUUUAAAAAGAAAUUUAUGUGGAUAUAUUAUACAGACCUGAUUUAUUUUAACAUUUAUUCCAUUAACAAAAGUAAACACUUAGAGUUGUUACUCAAACUUAAAUACACAUUCAUAAGAAGUAAACAUUUAAGUUUGAUGAAAUCAAUGGCUAAACUUAAGAUAAGUGUAACUGUAACUCAAAAAUGUUACUGCUUCUGUUUCUAGCCUUGGUUUUUAUUCCAUAUAUUAUUCAUUGUAGUCCAAACCUGGUGCCAUCAUUUCCUAAAACAUAUUCACUGAUUUAGCUGUGCUAUGUUAGUACCAGUUGAUGUAGCCAAAAUAAAACAGAGAUGAAGAACA